CACACCAGGAAGAGCAGAGUGGGCGGCACUGGGCCUGGUGCACCCCAGGGUGCGGUUGGCCUUUUAGGCUGCCAGCACACACUGUUGAUUCGUAUUCAGCUUACAAUCAAUCAGAAUUCCCAGACUUUCUGCAGGACUGCUCUCCAGCCUCUUGUCCCCUGGUUUCUAUAUAUCUAAGGUUGCCUCAUUCCAGGCGCAGAAUCCAGAACAUGCUCUUGUUAAAUGUCAUAUGGUUGGUGAUAGUCCAGCCAUCUAAUUUAUCAAGAUCCCUCUGGAAGGCCACUCUACCCUCAAGGGAGUCAGCAGGUCCUUUGAAUUUAGUACUGUCAAAAAACUUAUUUAGUAUGCAUUCCAGUCCUGCAUUCACAUCAUGUAUAAAAACAUCAGAGAGGACUGGCCUUAAAAUGCAGUCCCGUGGAGCCCUAGUAGUGACUGGCCACCAGCCUGAUGUGACCCCACUUACUUGAGCCCGACUGAUUGUUCAUGCAUUAGCUCGUGUAUGUAUCUAGGUGUAUGUUGGACAUUUUGCCCAGAAGAGUACUGUGAUGAGUAUUCAAAGUUUUGCUAAAAUUCAACAGCUUACUUCCCUUUCUCCAGUAUGUGGAUAACCUUGUCAUAGCAGGAAGAAUUUAGUUAAUCAGUACUUUCCCCUCAUAAACCCAUGUUGGCUAUGACCAGUGGCUACAAUGCCUUUCAGGUGCUUUUUAGUACCCCCCAGAAUAGACUUCUCCAUUAUUUUAUCAGGCACUGAAGUGUGACUGAUUGGCCUGUUACUUCUAGGGUCUUCUUUCUUGCCCUCCUUGAAAACUAGGAUGUUUGACAGCUUCCAGUCAAUGGGGAUCUCUCCAGUUUCCCAGUAUCACUGAAAAAUAAUUGAGAGAGGUUUUCUGAUGACAUGAGCCAGUUCUUUCAGUACUUUGGGAUGAAUCCUAUCGGGGAACAUAGACUCCUUAUGUCUUACACCUACCCUGACAUUUGGCAGUAAAGAAUAAAAAGUGUUGGCGGUUUUUUUUUUUUUUUUUUAAGGUUAUAAGUGUCAUUCAGACACCAGUCUUCUGAGAUGGGAAAGACCAAUGAUGAAAAGACCAGUGAUGUUUCUUCACUCCUUUCAGAAGAUAUUAACUCCAAGUUCUUUCCUGUCUUGCAAGAGUUUGGGCGUUGCAGAGAACAACAGGUCCUUCAGCAAGACUCACAGGUAUCUGUGGAGGGAGAUUUAACAUCAAAAAAUUCACUGCAUCUUCAAAUGCUUAAAGUAUAAUGUGUUUGAAUGAAUGGUUGUUCCCUUGGAACUGAAAAUGCCCCUGAACUAAUCCACCGAGACAAAAAGCAAGA
rnacentral:lncRNA from 1 species